CCAGUCAACUUGACACAAAUGUGGGAAGCAUUGGAGUCAACAUGGACCAGCAUCCUGUGAAUGCUUUUGACAUCUUGGAGAGCCCAGGUCCCGACGAACUGAGGCUGUUCUGAGGGCAAAAGUGUGGGGGGGUACAACUCAAUAUUAGGAAGUUGUCGUGAACCGUUACUUAAAUGAGUUCGCUGUUCGAGGUCAUUGGACAUCUUAAAGUAUUUACUCUAUGUGGUCUAUGCUUCUCUAGCGCUGCAAAGUGGACCAUUUUUGUUCAAUCUCAAAAUUACAUUGCUUUGUUACUGCAUGAGUCUGACUCUUGGGCUUUGAGAUGAGAUGAUUUCUAUAUCUUAUAUAAGGUUACAAGAGACCUGGUGCACCAGGGCAAAACAUACUAUAAACAUCUCCAAGCCCAGAGUUAGACUCAAGACAUACAAAGUUGUAUUUGGUCACAGAUCUGUUAGGGUUCUAUAAGGCCUAUUUGCCAAAUCACAGCAAAAUCGAUAGAUUCAUUAGAUUCAGGCUCCUAAAUGUUUCUCUAAAAAUAAAUACAUUAUAACAUUUAGAAUUGUCUGUGCAAUAUAUUCCAUCAACAUGUUUUCCUAUUUUUGAUAUGAUAUGACUGUUCUAUUCUUUGAGGUGUAACAGCGCUGGAGACGAUUGGUUAAUUGGUUCUCCUGUUUUUUAUUUUAGCGAAUCGUCGUCAGGAGCUGGAGUGUUUCCAGUUCAUGACUUGGCCAAAUUCCUCAGAAGUCCCUCCUCCAAUUCUAGUGUGUUCUUUAAAGCUCUCCCCACCAAACAGAGCUUUGCUGAGCUAGGUGAGCUGGAGUGGGAGGAAGAGAGGAAGGAGAUGGACAGUAUGUUCCUGACCAAGAGUAGGACCCACAUCCAGGUGACUGAGUCAGGCUGGUACCUGGUCUUUGUCCAAGUCACCUUCUAGCUGCCAGCAGGGAAGGAGACCAGAGACCUAAUGCUAAGGCUGGAUUUCACCUAUUCGGAACAGACGGGCCAGAUUGCCAGUGCCUUCGACAAACGGCAGUUGCUGGAAGAGGAGCAAGACGCCACUGAGUUUCUCUGUCCUUGUGCGGGUGGGGCCGGAGAAUAGACUGUCUGUCCUGGCAAGCCACAGGGCCCUGAUUGAUUGUGAGAGGAGACCCGUCUCCACCUACAUCACCAUCAUUAGAUGCUCUGACUAGCCAAACUGGGCUGGCGUGUGGGCCAAGGUCUACUCGCUUUGGAAUCACUGUCUGUAUGCCAAUCAAAUGCCCACACUUAACAAUGAAAGAAACAAGUAUGUCACCACGACCAAAGACAGGCCUAGAUUCAAUCUCUAAGCUGAAUGUCAGUGUAAAGGUGACCGAAUGUUUCACAGACGAAACAGUUAGGAAGAGUUGGUGCAUAGAGUCGUAAGUCGUAAGUUUACAUACUCCUUAGCCAAAUACAUUUAAACUCAGUUUUUCACAAUUCCUGACAUGUAAUCCUAG